UACGAAGGUCCCAAGCGUUAUCCGGAUUUAUUGGGUUUAAAGGGUGCGUAGGCUGGGUUAUUAAGUCAGUGGUGAAAGCCUUCAGCUUAACUGAAGAAUUGCCAUUGACGUACUGAUGAUCUUGAGUAUGAUUGAGGUGGGCGGAAUGUGUCAUGUAGCGGUGAAAUGCUUAGAUAUGACACAGAACACCGAAUUGCGAAGGCAGCUCACUAAGUCAUAACUGACGCUGAUGCACGAAAGCGUGGGGAGCAAACAGG
rnacentral:rRNA from 1 species